ACCUGUGCCUAGCGCUUCCCCUUCCCCCAACACACACUGAAGGCACGCUUUGGGGUUCACCGUCUCCACACAUCAGGUGGGUCUCUCUGCAUGGAAUUCCGACCUGAAAUUCCCACAAGCAAGCCAUGGCUGAAGGACCACCUCCUCCAGGAAGUCCCGUCCUGCAGGAGGAUCUGCUGAAGGCCUGAAUCAGCCCGACCUGCCCACUGGGGCCUUGUCCCCCCACGGGGCAGUGCCCUGGAUACAAACACUGGCAGAGGGAAAGUGCUGGCUGCACCCCAGACCCUGAGCCCUCGCAGCGGGGGUCCCUCACACGCCCCGCCACCUUCACCGCUGACCUCACGCUAUUUCCGGGUUAGUGAUGGUUCUUUCUUCCUCCAUUUGGAAGUGUACGUUGGAGGCUACUCGGGAGUUUGGGAUGGCCAAGCACCGACCUGGAAUUCUCGGAAUCUCGGGAAGCCCGGCAGCUAGUCGCAGCCCUGAUGUCUGGUUAAAGAAGCAGCCAGGCGAGGUGGGUUUGCUGUGCUGUGAUUUGUCACGUGCCCUGACCUGACCGGAAAGAGCGGGGGAACAUCAGGGCAGCUUCCACCUGGCUCUUGCCCUCUCAGAUCACCUGCUAUCCCUGGGAGAGGACCACGUAAGGAGGACCUGAGGCCUUCCCCCAAGAGCCAGCACCAACUUCCCGGCCAAUGGAUGAGCCAUGUUGGAAAUGGAAUCUCCAGCCCCAGCUGUGAUCUGACCUUCUGAGAGACUCCCGCCAGAACUGCCCAGCUGAGUUGCACCUGACAUUCUGACUCACAUAAAUGUGAAGAUAAUAAUGUUUACUGUUGUUUUAAGCUGCUGUGGUUUGGGUUGUUCUUGAUAAGAAACAGAUAACUAAUAUAGCAACUGUUACACCUUGAGUGAGGGACCUCGAAUAAAGAAACAAGAGGAAUUCAUGGGGCUCACAUAGUCCAGCCCAGUCCAGUUCCCUAGGGCUGGGGAUUCCACACUGGGUGUUGGGGCUAAAGCUUGGUUGUGACAAACAAGACUUAUUUGCCUUGAGUGUGUCCCCUCAACAUGCCUGCUUCCUAGAUUGCAUGGGCCCUUUGCUGGUCAAAGACAAAGGAAGCCAUGGUUCUUGCGGUCUUAUGGAUUCUCAUAAAAGUGUGACCAACCCCUGAUGUGUCUUAAACUGGAGGUUUCUCUCCUGCCCCAUUGGUCCAGAACUUGUCUUAGGCUGAGGUACUCAGAAGCAGACCCUGAGAAUAGAAUCUGAGUGUAAGUAGUUUCUUUGGGAGGUGAUAUUAGACAGCACUGAUAGGGCGUGGAGAAAUGAGUUGGAGAAGGGAAGGCAGCCAUAUAAGAUGUGUAAUGAACGAGUUGACGAGCAGCUGAGCUCAGUCAUGCUGGGGAGUCUGGGUGGCUGGGUGGCACACACCUCAGAGUUGUCUUGCCCAAGACAUGUGGGCCUAGCAUGGUCCAACAGCCAGCAAAGCCCUCAGGCAGGAAAAUGCCGUGGCGUGUCCAGGAACAGUGAGAGCUGAGGGAUAUGGGCAGGUUACUGGUAGCAUCUGCUACAGGCCUCCAUCUCAAGUCUGAAUUACAUAGCCUCCCAGCUAGUCUAUUCCCUUUGUUCUUUCACUCGGGCCGUCCGAUCUCUUCUCUACAUAGAAGCCCAGAGUAUACUAAAAUGCAGAUAUGAUCAAGCCACUCAUUUCUUACAGCAUUACUUUGGGAUUAAGUCCAUGCUCCUUAGCAUCAUCCCUGAUACAUAGAAACCAUUUGGUGAAUGUUAUCUUUUGUAUCAUUACUGUCAUCAUUGUCACCAUCACCACCACCCUCCUCCUCCUCCUCCUCCUCCUCAUCAUCAUCAUCAUCAUCAUCCCAUGUUCUUGACUUAGAGGAUCUCUCAUUCCAUCUCCUAUCCACCCAGGACAAUCUUUUUCAUGUUAAACUUCUCUGUAUCCCAUGUCUUUUGCACUCUUUUCUCUAUUCAAUCUCUGUCUCUCAUGCUUUGUUACGAAUUUUUUUUCUUAAACCCUCCAUCCAGUUCACUACAUUUUCACCUGAGUCUAAUUUGCAGUUAAAUGCAUACAUUGAGUUCUUAAUUUCAGUUAUUUCCCUUUACAUUUCUAGAAUUUCCAUUUUUAAAUAGCUAUUAGUUCUCUGCCCAAAAUUUAUAAUCUCUUAUCACCUUGUCUAUAGUAAAAGUAAUUAUUUAAAAAUAUAUGUCAGAUAUUGGGUCUGUUUCUAUUAUCUGUGGUUUCUCUUGCUUUUUCGUUGCUGUUUAUGUUGCUGUGACCUCUUGUGCUUGGUUAUUUUUUCACUGACAGGCAGACAUUGUGUGUGGAAAAUUGUAGAAAUAACAUGAGAACUAGGAUUGUUACCUCCCUGCAGAGGGGAUUUAUAUUUUCUUCUGGCAGUAAUUGAGGGACCCAGCAAUCUGGGAUCCCCUUGAUCCAGUUUUAGGGAUUGAAAUGAUUUGCAGUAGGUUUAGUUUGUGAGAGGUCAGGUCUACUUCCAGUUCACCCUUACUCUUAGAGCGUGUCCCUUCGGGGUCCCAACCAAAAGUUAGGGGCCCACCUUUUAUUGGGACCUGGACUCCAAUAUUUGUUGGUCUCAAAUAUUGACACGGUCUUGCAGUCAUGUCUUCCAGAAUUGGCAAUCACCUCUGGGCGAAAACCUGCCUUGAAUUUUUCUUGUCCUGGAUCUUGAGUCUAAUUCUUUUCUAAUUUGUUAGCUCACUCAUGCCUUAAGUCAGUUGAUUUUUCUCCAGUUCUUUCUAGUCAUUCUCAGUGGAUGUUUUACCAGUUUACUUAGCACACAAUUACUAGAAGCUGGGGUAACUACUUUACAUUUUUUAGUUCUUCUAGCAUAAACUUCCAUGUUUCUAAGUUAUAUGUUUGUAUUGCUUUUAACAUUUUAAGAAAUUAUUGCUGACUCUCACAACUCUUCUCUCCAAAUUUCCCCAUUCAAUCUUCUCAAUACAUAUGCAAAAAUUUAUCAGAAUGACGGUUUAGAAAUUACUGUGCCUAUUUAGAUAGUGUUCGCUGUUCAACCAAAUAAUGAACUCUAAUAUAUUCUCUCUUGUGCAGCUUUUUAUUUUUCCUGAAAUUAACAAUGGCUUCAUUUUAAAGUUUGGUUAAUUUUCCCUGUGACUACAAGCUAUUUUCCCCCUACAAGCCUUAACAAAUCUGUGAAAUGCCUUGCAGGCAGCCAGUGAGGCAGGGGAAAAUCCUUGGAGGCCAAGGGCAAAAGGUGUUUCAAGGAAAAGGGAUUCAUCAGUUGGGCUACAUACUAAUAAUUUGAUUAAGUGACAUGAGGACUGAGAAUUGCCCAUUGGAUUUGACAAAGUGGAAAUCAUUGCUGACAUUGACAAGAGUAGAGUGAGUGGUGGGGGCAAACAUCUAAUUGGAGGGGGCUUAAGUAGUAAUGGAAGAAGAAAAGCCAGAGACUGAGAACAUAGACAAUACUUUCAGGAGUUUUGCUCUAAAGGGAGUAGAGAAAUACGGUGAAGGCUGUGGGAUCAGGAAAGGGAUUUGUGACAGUCCGCCUCCCAGAUGGCCCCCAAUGAUCCCCAUUUCCUGCUUUUCACACCCUCAUAUAGUUCCCUCCCGUGUUGUACGUGAGGUGGUGUGUGUGUGGCCAAGAGAAGAUGGCAGAAGUGAUGUCACUCCCAACGAUAGGUUGCAAAAGACUGUGGCCUCCGUUUGGGUGCUCUCUUGCUUUCUCUCUCUCGGCCCACUUGCUCUGUGGGAAGCUGCGAUGCUGUGGAGAGGCCUGUGUGACGAGGAUCUGAAGCCUCCAGCCAACAGCCGAUGAGGACCUCAAGCCACAGCCAUGUGGACAGGCUUGGAGGCAGAUCCUCCGGCCCCAGUGGAGUCUUGAGGUGACCACAGCCCUGGCCGACAGCUUAACUGCACCCUCGCAAGUGACCCUGAGAGAGAACCACCCAGAUAAGCCAUUCCCAGAUUCCUGACUCUCAGAAACUAGGUGAGAUAAUACAUGCUCAUUGCUUUAAGCUGCUGUUUUUUGGGUUGCAAAAAUUUGUCAUGCAGCAAUAUAACUAAUAUGGAUUUUUUUUUAAUAUAGGAGAAAGAAUAGCAUGUUUGUUGUUCAAAUGGAAUAAUCUGGUAGUGAGGAAAAAGUUGAUGUAGAAGAGAGAGAGAGAAUUUCCAGAGUGAUCUUCUUAAGUAGCAGAUAUAGAUGUCAUUAUGAUGGAGACCUACAGAGUUCUUUGCCAAGUGACCUGAUUGAGGCCCC